AAAGGGAAGCGAGACUGUGAAGUUAAGCAAAUCCCAAAAAUAAACGUCUCAGUUCGGAUUGUAGUCUGCAACUCGACUACAUGAAGCUGGAAUCGCUAGUAAUCGCAGAUCAGAAUGCUGCGGUGAAUACGUUCCCGGGCCUUGUACACACCGCCCGUCACACCAUGAGAGUUGAGAAUACCCGAAGUCCAUGUCAAAGUGGCCGAAGGUAGGCUUGAUGAUUGGGGUGAAGUCGUAACAAGGUAGC
rnacentral:rRNA from 1 species